rnacentral:rRNA from 1 species
UACGUAGGGGGCAAGCGUUGUCCGGAUUUAUUGGGCGUAAAGAGCGUGUAGGCGGUUUGGUAGGUCCGUUGUGAAAACUCGAGGCUCAACCUCGAGACGCCGGCGGAAACCAUCAGGCUAGAGUCCGGAAGAGGAGAGUGGAAUUCCUGGUGUAGCGGUGAAAUGCGUAGAUAUCGUGAGGAACACCAGAGGCGAAGGCGGUUUCCUGGACAGUUACUGACGCUCAGGUGCGAAAGCCAGGGGAGCGAACGGG